UGCCAGCAGCCGCGGUAAUACGAACUGCGCAAACGUUAUUCGGAAUCACUGGGCUUACAGGGUGCGUAGGCGGCCUGGCAGGUCAGAUGUGAAAUCCCACAGCUCAACUGUGGAACUGCAUUUGAAACCUUCAGGCUUGAGUGAACUAGAGGCAUACGGAACUUCAGGUGGAGCGGUGAAAUGUGUUGAGAUCUGAAGGAACACCAGAGGCGAAAGCGGUAUGCUGGAGUUUGUCUGACGCUGAGGCACGAAAGCCAGGGGAGCGAACGGGAUUAGAUA
rnacentral:rRNA from 1 species